GACGAACGCUGGCGGCGUGCCUAAUACAUGCAAGUAGAACGCACAGUUUAUACCGUAGCUUGCUACACCAUAGACUGUGAGUUGCGAACGGGUGAGUAACGCGUAGGUAACCUGCCUGGUAGCGGGGGAUAACUAUUGGAAACGAUAGCUAAUACCGCAUAAUAUUAAUUAUUGCAUGAUAAUUGAUUGAGAGAUGCAACUGCAUCACUACCAGAUGGACCUGCGUUGUAUUAGCUAGUAGGUGAGGUAACGGCUCACCUAGGCGACGAUACAUAGCCGACCUGAGAGGGUGAUCGGCCACACUGGGACUGAGACACGGCCCAGACUCCUACGGGAGGCAGCAGUAGGGAAUCUUCGGCAAUGGACGAAAGUCUGACCGAGCAACGCCGCGUGAGUGAAGAAGGUUUUCGGAUCGUAAAGCUCUGUUGUAAGAGAAGAACGGGUGUGAGAGUGGAAAGUUCACACUGUGACGGCAUCUUACCAGAAAGGGACGGCUAACUACGUG
rnacentral:rRNA from 1 species